UACGUAGGGUGCGAGCGUUGUCCGGAAUUAUUGGGCGUAAAGAGCUCGUAGGCGGUUUGUCGCGUCUGCUGUGAAAACUGGAGGCUCAACCUCCAGCCUGCAGUGGGUACGGGCAGACUAGAGUGCGGUAGGGGAGAUUGGAAUUCCUGGUGUAGCGGUGGAAUGCGCAGAUAUCAGGAGGAACACCAAUGGCGAAGGCAGAUCUCUGGGCCGUAACUGACGCUGAGGCACGAAAGCGUGGGGAGCAAACAGG
rnacentral:rRNA from 1 species